UACGAAGGGGGCUAGCGUUGCUCGGAAUCACUGGGCGUAAAGGGUGCGUAGGCGGGUUAUUAAGUCAGAGGUGAAAUCCUGGAGCUCAACUCCAGAACUGCCUUUGAUACUGAUAGUCUUGAGUAUGGGAGAGGUGAGUGGAACUGCGAGUGUAGAGGUGAAAUUCGUAGAUAUUCGCAAGAACACCAGUGGCGAAGGCGGCUCGCUGGCCCAUUACUGACGCUGAGGCACGAAAGCGUGGGGAGCAAACAGG
rnacentral:rRNA from 1 species